GUUAUAGCCAUAUUUGUGGUUCUGCCUACUUUCACAAAAAGUGCUCGAAAUGCUCACCUUCAGUUUGAAUGCAAGUUUGUUGAAUACGAAUAAGUUGAACAUUGGCAAUAGGAGACAAUUGAUUUUAAAUGUCCCCAGAGAUACAAAUCUAAUAGAUUUGAAUUGGGAAACUGAGCGGGCUAAGUAACUGGACCACCACGACUUAUCCAUUGAUUGGCAAACCGUUUGUUCAGAUCCUGCUCGAUUUUUGGCGACAAUCUGUUGUCA